ACCUGGGUGGCUCAGUUGGUUAAGCAUCUGACUUCAGCUCAGGUCUUGAUCUCAUAGUUCGUGGGUUCAAGUUCCAUGUCAGGCU
rnacentral:tRNA from 1 species